rnacentral:tRNA from 1 species
CGGAGCGUGGCGCAGUCUGGUAGCGCACUUCACUGGGGGUGAAGGGGUCGCUGGUUCGAGUCCAGUCGCUCCGACCA